CGGGACACGUGGUAUCCUGUCUGAAUAUGGGGGGACCAUCCUCCAAGGCUAAAUACUCCUGACUGACCGAUAGUGAACCAGUACCGUGAGGGAAAGGCGAAAAGAACCCCGGCGAGGGGAGUGAAAAAGAACCUGAAACCGUGUACGUACAAGCAGUGGGAGCACGCUUAGGCGUGUGACUGCGUACCUUUUGUAUAAUGGGUCAGCGACUUAUAUUCUGUAGCAAGGUUAACCGAAUAGGGGAGCCGAAGGGAAACCGAGUCUUAACUGGGCGUUAAGUUGCAGGGUAUAGACCCGAAACCCGGUGAUCUAGCCAUGGGCAGGUUGAAGGUUGGGUAACACUAACUGGAGGACCGAACCGACUAAUGUUGAAAAAUUAGCGGAUGACUUGUGGCUGGGGGUGAAAGGCCAAUCAAACCGGGAGAUAGCUGGUUCUCCCCGAAAGCUAUUUAGGUAGCGCCUCGUGAAUUCAUCUCCGGGGGUAGAGCACUGUUUCGGCAAGGGGGUCAUCCCGACUUACCAACCCGAUGCAAACUGCGAAUACCGGAGAAUGUUAUCACGGGAGACACACGGCGGGUGCUAACGUCCGUCGUGAAGAGGGAAACAACCCAGACCGCCAGCUAAGGUCCCAAAGUCAUGGUUAAGUGGGAAACGAUGUGGGAAGGCCCAGACAGCCAGGAUGUUGGCUUAGAAGCAGCCAUCAUUUAAAGAAAGCGUAAUAGCUCACUGGUCGAGUCGGCCUGCGCGGAAGAUGUAACGGGGCUAAACCAUGCACCGAAGCUGCGGCAGCGACGCUUAUGCGUUGUUGGGUAGGGGAGCGUUCUGUAAGCCUGUGAAGGUGUACUGUGAGGUAUGCUGGAGGUAUCAGAAGUGCGAAUGCUGACAUAAGUAACGAUAAAGCGGGUGAAAAGCCCGCUCGCCGGAAGACCAAGGGUUCCUGUCCAACGUUAAUCGGGGCAGGGUGAGUCGACCCCUAAGGCGAGGCCGAAAGGCGUAGUCGAUGGGAAACAGGUUAAUAUUCCUGUACUUGGUGUUACUGCGAAGGGGGGACGGAGAAGGCUAUGUUGGCCGGGCGACGGUUGUCCCGGUUUAAGCGUGUAGGCUGGUUUUCCAGGCAAAUCCGGAAAAUCAAGGCUGAGGCGUGAUGACGAGGCACUACGGUGCUGAAGCAACAAAUGCCCUGCUUCCAGGAAAAGCCUCUAAGCAUCAGGUAACAUCAAAUCGUACCCCAAACCGACACAGGUGGUCAGGUAGAGAAUACCAAGGCGCUUGAGAGAACUCGGGUGAAGGAACUAGGCAAAAUGGUGCCGUAACUUCGGGAGAAGGCACGCUGAUAUGUAGGUGAAGUCCCUCGCGGAUGGAGCUGAAAUCAGUCGAAGAUACCAGCUGGCUGCAACUGUUUAUUAAAAACACAGCACUGUGCAAACACGAAAGUGGACGUAUACGGUGUGACGCCUGCCCGGUGCCGGAAGGUUAAUUGAUGGGGUUAGCGCAAGCGAAGCUCUUGAUCGAAGCCCCGGUAAACGGCGGCCGUAACUAUAACGGUCCUAAGGUAGCGAAAUUCCUUGUCGGGUAAGUUCCGACCUGCACGAAUGGCGUAAUGAUGGCCAGGCUGUCUCCACCCGAGACUCAGUGAAAUUGAACUCGCUGUGAAGAUGCAGUGUACCCGCGGCAAGACGGAAAGACCCCGUGAACCUUUACUAUAGCUUGACACUGAACAUUGAGCCUUGAUGUGUAGGAUAGGUGGGAGGCUUUGAAGUGUGGACGCCAGUCUGCAUGGAGCCGACCUUGAAAUACCACCCUUUAAUGUUUGAUGUUCUAACGUGGACCCGUAAUCCGGGUUGCGGACAGUGUCUGGUGGGUAGUUUGACUGGGGCGGUCUCCUCCUAAAGAGUAACGGAGGAGCACGAAGGUUGGCUAAUCCUGGUCGGACAUCAGGAGGUUAGUGCAAUGGCAUAAGCCAGCUUGACUGCGAGCGUGACGGCGCGAGCAGGUGCGAAAGCAGGUCAUAGUGAUCCGGUGGUUCUGAAUGGAAGGGCCAUCGCUCAACGGAUAAAAGGUACUCCGGGGAUAACAGGCUGAUACCGCCCAAGAGUUCAUAUCGACGGCGGUGUUUGGCACCUCGAUGUCGGCUCAUCACAUCCUGGGGCUGAAGUAGGUCCCAAGGGUAUGGCUGUUCGCCAUUUAAAGUGGUACGCGAGCUGGGUUUAGAACGUCGUGAGACAGUUCGGUCCCUAUCUGCCGUGGGCGCUGGAGAAUUGAGGGGGGCUGCUCCUAGUACG
rnacentral:rRNA from 1 species